UCGUCGAUAGCUCAGUUGGCAGAGCGGUGGACUGUAGAUCCAUAGGUCGCUGGUUCGACUCCGGCUCGACGGAA